rnacentral:lncRNA from 1 species
UUCCCAUCUUUGUUUAUUCUUUCUGCUUAUUGUUUCAGUUGUGAAUUUUAAUGGUGUACUUUGGUUAAUUUUUUGUUCAAUGUUGGUUGUUUUUAUUUCUUUAGACUUAUGCUUUGACACUUCUUGUGCCCGUGUUUUCUUGUAUUUUUAUGUGGGCUUUAGCCUUUUAUUUAUAUAUUAUUUCACCAUUACCAAAAAUAGAA